rnacentral:lncRNA from 1 species
GUAAGGGUUGAUAAUAACCUGAAAUUUUAAAAAGGGUUGGGGGGAGAGGCAUAGAGCAUUUGUUAAUAAAAAUGGAUAUUAAUAACAAUGUGAGUGAAUAGUUUACAAAACUUUGUUUACAUUACAAAUAGGUUUAUAUCAUGGCCUUUCUCACUAUAUUCAUUUAAAAUUCAAGUUACAAAUAUAUAAAGCAUUUAAAUCACCCAAAGCAUUUUAUUUUGUUCCAGAUAUACUUUAUGUAGUAAUCUCUGGUCUAUUAAUAAAAAGAAAACUCACCCCAAACCCUCUUUACAAGUAGAUUUUAAAAUUGUUAACACCAAAGACUGGCAGCCUUUUAAAAAAAUAUGGCCAAAAUUAGCCUUUGUAUCUAAAUUCUAUUCAUACUAUUUAGUCAGUGUUGAAUAGUCAAAACUAUUCAGUCAACAUUCCCACAUAAAGUGGAUAAAUAAUUGCUUUGUUCUUUAUCAUUUUAAAAGCUACCUAAAUAUCUGUGAAAGAAUGUAUCAGGUUACCUAUGGAUUUAGUCUAAUAUGAAG